rnacentral:rRNA from 1 species
UACGUAGGGUGCGAGCGUUGUCCGGAAUUAUUGGGCGUAAAGGGCUCGUAGGCGGUUUGUCGCGUCGGGAGUGAAAACACCGGGCUUAACUCGGUGCUUGCUUUCGAUACGGGCAGACUAGAGGUAUGCAGGGGAGACUGGAAUUCCUGGUGUAGCGGUGGAAUGCGCAGAUAUCAGGAGGAACACCGGUGGCGAAGGCGGGUCUCUGGGCAGUAACUGACGCUGAGGAGCGAAAGCGUGGGGAGCGAACAGG